rnacentral:rRNA from 1 species
UACGAAGGGGGCUAGCGUUGCUCGGAAUCACUGGGCGUAAAGGGUGCGUAGGCGGGCUUUUAAGUCAGAGGUGAAAUCCUGGAGCUCAACUCCAGAACUGCCUUUGAUACUGAAAGUCUUGAGUAUGGGAGAGGUGAGUGGAACUGCGAGUGUAGAGGUGAAAUUCGUAGAUAUUCGCAAGAACACCAGUGGCGAAGGCGGCUCACUGGCCCAUUACUGACGCUGAGGCACGAAAGCGUGGGGAGCAAACAGG